rnacentral:rRNA from 1 species
UACGGAGGGGGCCAGCGUUGUUCGGAAUCAUUGGGCGUAAAGGGCGCGUAGGCGGCCUGGUAAGUCAGUCGUGAAAUCCCUCGGCUCAACCGAGGAACUGCGUCUGAUACUGCCGGGCUUGAGUCCCGGAGAGGGUAGUGGAAUUCCCAGUGUAGCGGUGAAAUGCGUAGAUAUUGGGAGGAACACCGGUGGCGAAGGCGGCUACCUGGACGGGCACUGACGCUGAGGCGCGAAAGCUAGGGGAGCAAACAGG